rnacentral:rRNA from 1 species
GACGAACGCUGGCGGCGUGCCUAAUACAUGCAAGUAGAACGCUGAAGGAGGAGCUUGCUCUUCUGGAUGAGUUGCGAACGGGUGAGUAACGCGUAGGUAACCUGCCUGGUAGCGGGGGAUAACUAUUGGAAACGAUAGCUAAUACCGCAUAAUAGUAGAUGUUGCAUGACAUUUACUUAAAAGGUGCAAUUGCAUCACUACCAGAUGGACCUGCGUUGUAUUAGCUAGUUGGUGGGGUAACGGCUCACCAAGGCGACGAUACAUAGCCGACCUGAGAGGGUGAUCGGCCACACUGGGACUGAGACACGGCCCAGACUCCUACGGGAGGCAGCAGUAGGGAAUCUUCGGCAAUGGACGGAAGUCUGACCGAGCAACGCCGCGUGAGUGAAGAAGGUUUUCGGAUCGUAAAGCUCUGUUGUAAGAGAAGAACGAGUGUGAGAGUGGAAAGUUCACACUGUGACGGUAUCUACCAGAA